rnacentral:rRNA from 1 species
ACGGGUGAGUAACGCGUAUACAAUCUGCCUCAUACUAGGGGAUAGCCCAGAGAAAUUUGGAUUAAUACCCUAUAGUAUCUUUUAGAGUCAUCUCUUUAAGAUUAAAGGCUACGGUAUGAGAUGAGUAUGCGUUCUAUUAGUUAGUAGGUGAGGUAACGGCUCACCGAGACCACGAUAGAUAGGGGCCCUGAGAGGGGGAUCCCCCACACUGGUACUGAGACACGGACCAGACUCCUACGGGAGGCAGCAGUGAGGAAUAUUAGACAAUGGGCGAAAGCCUGAUCUAGCCAUGCCGCGUGCAGGAUGACGGCCCUAUGGGUUGUAAACUGCUUUUAUACAGGAAGAAAAAACUCUACGUGUAGAGUCUUGACGGUACUGUAAGAAUAAGGAUCGGCUAACUCCGUGCCAGCAGCCGCGGUAAUACGGAGGAUCCAAGCGUUAUCCGGAAUUAUUGGGUUUAAAGGGUCCGUAGGUGGACAAUUAAGUCAGAGGUGAAAUCCUGCAGCUCAACUGUAGAAUUGCCUUUGAAACUGGUUGUCUUGAGUCAUUAUGAAGUGGUUAGAAUGUGUAGUGUAGCGGUGAAAUGCAUAGAUAUUACACAGAAUACCAAUUGCGAAGGCAGACCACUAAUAAUGUACUGACACUGAUGGACGAAAGCGUGGGUAGCGAACAGGAUUAGAUACCCUGGUAGUCCACGCCGUAAACGAUGGUCACUAGCUGUUCGGACUUCGGUCUGAGUGGCUAAGCGAAAGUGAUAAGUGACCCACCUGGGA